rnacentral:rRNA from 1 species
GCCUUCGGGAACUCUGAGACAGGUGCUGCAUGGCUGUCGUCAGCUCGUGUUGUGAAAUGUUGGGUUAAGUCCCGCAACGAGCGCAACCCUUAUCCUUGUUUGCCAGCGAGUAAUGUCGGGAACUCCAGGGAGACUGCCGGUGAUAAACCGGAGGAAGGUGGGGACGACGUCAAGUCAUCAUGGCCCUUACGAGUAGGGCUACACACGUGCUACAAUGGCGCAUACAGAGGGCGGCCAACUUGCGAAAGUGAGCGAAUCCCAAAAAGUGCGUCGUAGUCCGGAUUGG